GACGAACGCUGGUGGCGUGCCUAAUACAUGCAAGUUGAGCGAUGAAGAUUGGUGCUUGCACCAAUUUGAAGAGCAGCGAACGGGUGAGUAACGCGUGGGGAAUCUGCCUUUGAGCGGGGGACAACAUUUGGAAACGAAUGCUAAUACCGCAUAAUAACUUUAAACAUAAGUUUUAAGUUUGAAAGAUGCAAUUGCAUCACUCAAAGAUGAUCCCGCGUUGUAUUAGCUAGUUGGUGAGGUAAAGGCUCACCAAGGCGAUGAUACAUAGCCGACCUGAGAGGGUGAUCGGCCACAUUGGGACUGAGACACGGCCCAAACUCCUACGGCAGGCAGCAGUAGGGAAUCUUCGGCAAUGGACGAAAGUCUGACCGAGCAACGCCGCGUGAGUGAAGAAGGUUUUCGGAUCGUAAAACUCUGUUGGUAGAGAAGAACGUUGGUGAGAGUGGAAAGCUCAUCAAGUGACGGUAACUACCCAGAAAGGGACGGCUAACUACGUG
rnacentral:rRNA from 1 species